rnacentral:rRNA from 1 species
AUGGUCUGGACCGCCCGGGUUCCUCUGAAGAUUCGCAUCUUCAUGUGGCAAUGGAUCCGUGGUAGACUUCCGUCUGGUGUGGAGGUCCGGAAGCGCAAUGGCCCCGGCUCCGGUAUCUGCCCUCUCUGUGGCGUCCCGGAGGACUCGAACCACAUCUUCUUCUCCUGCAUCUCCGCUCAAUUCCUUUGGAGCUGCUUCCGCGAGGUGGUCGGCGGGAGUUGGUGCCACACUAACUUCCCGGACCUCUUUGCUGAACUCCAAUUGUCCCCCGUGUCCAUUCGCCACAUUAGGUGGCUGCAAGUUGGGGUCCUUGCGUGGACAUUGUGGACCGUUCGCAAUAAACUCGUGAUCCAGCACGCUCCCCUUCGUCGCCCUUCUGACGCCCUCUACAAAUUCUCGGGUUUCUUGCAGCUUUGGCGGCCGCUUAGUCGCUCCUCGGACCGUGACGCCAUCUCCGCCUUCAUCACCGACCUUCGAUCGAUGGCCGUCCGCAUCUCUCCGCCGCCGCCGCCGCCACCGCCGGAGCCCGAUUAG